GCACUUGUGGGUAAUUCGUCGCCAGUUG
rnacentral:sRNA from 1 species